CUCGUCUCUUCUCUUUCUCACUGUUUUUCUUUCUCUUAUUUGCAGUGAAGAGCAUCAUAAGUAAAAGAAUUUGGAACUAGGCAGCUCCAAAGCUCCUAAGAAACUUCUUUAACAUUGGGGGAAGAUAAUGUGGGCCGUGAUCAAAAGCUUGGUAUGAAAAUCAGACUCGACUAGGACAGGUGGUGGCACGAACAUCGCUCCGGGACAGGUCCAGCCCAACACCAGAACCCUGCAGGGACCACCAUGCAGAGUGGGAGGAAUGCUGAGUGCCUCCGGGCCUUUGACUCACUUGCUCGAGAGGCAGAGAAGCAAAAAGAAAAGCCUGAGUUCUGACCACAGCACAGGAGAAAAGGAGGGCUGAGUUCGGCUCGAUUCAGUAGGAGAACGCUGAAGACUGUCCUUCCCUGGGACUGAGGGGUCUCCCCAGAGCGGAAGGGCAAUGCUGAAAGAGAGACAGCCUAAGGGAAGAGGUAGAUGUCGAGUAGAGCUAAGGACAGACUGAGUAGUUCUGAAACACGCCAGAAGAAGGAAAGAAAGAGACAGGAAAGACAGACAGAAAGAAGAAAGGAAGGAAGGAAGGAAGGAAGGAAGGAAGGAAGGAAGGAAGAAAGAAAGGAAAGAGAGAUAGAGAGAGGGAGGGAGGGAGGAAGUUAACUAGAUAUUUAGUCCUGAAGCUCUGAGAGAUCUGGGCCACUCGUAUUAAUUUGAAAGCACCUGGCAUAUGGGUGCUAAGUGGCACAAUGAGCGUGAAUAACAUCGGUUAGGACAAUUUGAAAACUGAGAAGAUGGGACAUUGCGGGACUGGGCCUAGGAAGUGUUGACAUUUAAGGGCCAGGAAGAGGGUGAAUCUAUGAAACACAAGGGAACUGACCAGAUGUGCUGAAAACCAAGAGCUGCUCAGGCACAGACAUCAAGGGAAGACUUUUGGGAAACAGGAAGUGAAGGGUGCAGGGAGGGGGAGUCAAGUUAAGAGUAAAAAUUAUCUCAGGAAUGUGCCAGGUGGAGGGCUGGUGACUUGCAGUAGAGCUGCUUCCAUGGAGCGAUGGCCAAAGCCCGGCCACUGAGGGGUGAGCAGAGUGACGGGUGGGGAACUGUAGACGGCUGGCAGCGCCAGCAAGUACCUGGAGCAGCUCAUCUGCAGCGAGACCGUGCAGUGCCUGGAGGCCCGGAGGGUUUGUUCUGUUUUGCUUGCACUGAAGUCUAUGACGUUUGGAAUCCAAAGGAAGAGUAUGGAAGGCCAGACCGGACACACCCAGG
rnacentral:lncRNA from 1 species